CCCUUAGAUGUUCUGGGCCGCACGCGUGCUACACUGAGUGGAUCAGCGGGUCAGGUUGCGCGAAAGCGUUUCCUAAUCUUUAAAUCCGCUCGUGAUGGGGAUUGACGGUUGCAAUUUUCCGUCAUGAACGAGGAAUACCUUGUAAGCGCGGGUCAUCAUCCCGCGCUGAAUACGUCCCUGCCCUUUGUACACACCGCCCGUCGCUCCUACCGAUUGAGUGGUCCGGUGAGGCUUUGGGAUCUGAGCGGAAAGAGCGUUUCGCUGUUUCUGCUCGGAAAACUCAGUCGAACCUUAUCAUUUAGAGGAAGGAGGAGUCGUAACA
rnacentral:rRNA from 1 species